rnacentral:rRNA from 1 species
GUACUCGAGCGGCGAACGGGUGAGUAACACGUGAGCAACCUGCCCCAAGCUUUGGGAUAACCCCGGGAAACCGGGGCUAAUACCGAAUAUUACUUGGCCUCGCAUGAGGUUUGGUGGAAAGUUUUUCGGCUUGGGAUGGGCUCGCGGCCUAUCAGCUUGUUGGUGGGGUGAUGGCCUACCAAGGCGACGACGGGUAGCCGGCCUGAGAGGGCGACCGGCCACACUGGGACUGAGACACGGCCCAGACUCCUACGGGAGGCAGCAGUGGGGAAUAUUGCACAAUGGGCGGAAGCCUGAUGCAGCGACGCCGCGUGAGGGAUGACGGCCUUCGGGUUGUAAACCUCUUUCAGCAGGGACGAAGCGAGAGUGACGGUACCUGCAGAAGAAGCACCGGCCAACUACGUGCCAGCAGCCGCGGUAAGACGUAGGGUGCGAGCGUUGUCCGGAUUUAUUGGGCGUAAAGAGCUCGUAGGCGGCUUGUCGCGUCGACUGUGAAAACCCGCAGCUCAACUGCGGGCCUGCAGUCGAUACGGGCAGGCUAGAGUUCGGUAGGGGAGACUGGAAUUCCUGGUGUAGCGGUGAAAUGCGCAGAUAUCAGGAGGAACACCGAUGGCGAAGGCAGGUCUCUGGGCCGAUACUGACGCUGAGGAGCGAAAGCGUGGGGAGCGAACAGGAUUAGAUACCCUGGUAGUCCACGCUGUAAACGUUGGGCGCUAGGGUGUGGGGGGCCUCUCCGGUUCCCUGUGCCGCA